rnacentral:rRNA from 1 species
GAAUUUUGAAAUCUGGCUCAGGAUGAACGCUGGCGGCGUGCCUAACACAUGCAAGUCGAGCGAUCUCUUCGGAGAGAGCGGCGGACGGGUGAGUAACGCGUGGGUAACCUGCCCUGUACACACGGAUAACAUACCGAAAGGUAUACUAAUACGGGAUAACAUAYGAAAGUCGCAUGGCUUUUGUAUCAAAGCUCCGGCGGUACAGGAUGGACCCGCGUCUGAUUAGCUAGUUGGUAAGGUAAUGGCUUACCAAGGCAACGAUCAGUAGCCGACCUGAGAGGGUGAUCGGCCACACUGGAACUGAGACACGGUCCAGACUCCUACGGGAGGCAGCAGUGGGGAAUAUUGCACAAUGGGCGAAAGCCUGAUGCAGCAACGCCGCGUGAGCGAUGAAGGCCUUCGGGUCGUAAAGCUCUGUCCUCAAGGAAGAUAAUGACGGUACUUGAGGAGGAAGCCCCGGCUAACUACGUGCCAGCAGCCGCGGUAAUACGUAGGGGGCUAGCGUUAUCCGGAAUUACUGGGCGUAAAGGGUGCGUAGGUGGUUUUUUAAGUCAGAAGUGAAAGGCUACGGCUCAACCGUAGUAAGCUUUUGAAACUAGAGAACUUGAGUGCAGGAGAGGAGAGUAGAAUUCCUAGUGUAGCGGUGAAAUGCGUAGAUAUUAGGAGGAAUACCAGUAGCGAAGGCGGCUCUCUGGACUGUAACUGACACUGAGGCACGAAAGCGUGGGGAGCAAACAGGAUUAGAUACCCUGGUAGUCCACGCCGUAAACGAUGAGUACUAGGUGUCGGGGGUUACCCCCCUCGGUGCCGCAGCUAACGCAUAAUAUCCGCCUGAGCCCUGCG